AUUGAACGCUGGCGGCAGGCCUAACACAUGCAAGUCGAGCGGAAGAACAGAGCUUGCUCGCGGUUUCGGGGGCGGACGGGCGAGUAAUGCCGAGAAACCUGCCUGUCAGUGGUGUAUAACGUGCGAAAAUAGGGACUAAUACCCCAAUCCUGCUGACGGCGAAAGUGUGAAAGCAGGGGACCUCAGGCUAUCGCGUGAUCCGAGGUCGGAUUAUCUAGUUGGUGGGGUAAAGGCCUACCAAGGCGACGAUCCGUAACUGGUCUGAUAGGAUGAUCAGUCACACUGGAACUGAGACACGGUCCAGACUCCUACGGGAGGCAGCAGUGGGGAAUAUUGGACAAUGGGCGCAAGCCUGAUCCAGCCAUGCCGCGUGUGUGAAGAAGGUCUUCGGAUUGUAAAGCCCUUUUGGUUGGGAGGAAGAGCAGUAAGUUAAUACCCCGCUGUUUUGACGUUACCAACAGAAUAAGCACCGGCUAACUUCGUG
rnacentral:rRNA from 1 species